rnacentral:rRNA from 2 species
AUANNUGCAGUCGACGAACUCUGGUAUUGAUUGGUGCUUGCAUCAUGAUUUACAUUUGAGUGAGUGGCGAACUGGUGAGUAACACGUGGGAAACCUGCCCAGAAGCGGGGGAUAACACCUGGAAACAGAUGCUAAUACCGCAUAACAACUUGGACCGCAUGGUCCGAGUUUGAAAGAUGGCUUCGGCUAUCACUUUUGGAUGGUCCCGCGGCGUAUUAGCUAGAUGGUGGGGUAACGGCUCACCAUGGCAAUGAUACGUAGCCGACCUGAGAGGGUAAUCGGCCACAUUGGGACUGAGACACGGCCCAAACUCCUACGGGAGGCAGCAGUAGGGAAUCUUCCACAAUGGACGAAAGUCUGAUGGAGCAACGCCGCGUGAGUGAAGAAGGGUUUCGGCUCGUAAAACUCUGUUGUUAAAGAAGAACAUAUCUGAGAGUAACUGUUCAGGUAUUGACGGUAUUUAACCAGAAAGCCACGGCUAACUACGUGCCAGCAGCCGNCGGU